GAUGAACGCUAGCGGGAGGCUUAACACAUGCAAGUCGAGGGGCAGCACAAGGAGCAAUCUGAGGUGGCGACCGGCGCACGGGUGAGUAACACGUAUGCAACCUACCUGUAAGAGGGGAAUAACCCGUUGAAAAACGGACUAAUACCGCAUAACACUGUAGAACCGCAUGGUUUGACAGUUAAACAUUUAUGGCUUACAGAUGGGCAUGCGCAUGAUUAGCUAGUUGGUGAGGUAACGGCUCACCAAGGCAACGAUCAUUAGGGGUUCUGAGAGGAAGGUCCCCCACACUGGUACUGAGACACGGACCAGACUCCUACGGGAGGCAGCAGUGAGGAAUAUUGGUCAAUGGGCGAGAGCCUGAACCAGCCAAGUCGCGUGAAGGAUGAAGGUUUUAUGAAUUGUAAACUUCUUUUGCAGGGGAAUAAAGUGUCCGACGUGUCGGAUUUUGUAUGUACUCUGCGAAUAAGGAUCGGCUAACUCCGUGCCAGCAGCCG
rnacentral:rRNA from 1 species